rnacentral:rRNA from 1 species
GAUGAACGCUGGCGGCGUGCCUAAUACAUGCAAGUCGAGCGAACGGACGAGAAGCUUGCUUCUCUGAUGUUAGCGGCGGACGGGUGAGUAACACGUGGAUAACCUACCUAUAAGACUGGGAUAACUUCGGGAAACCGGAGCUAAUACCGGAUAAUAUUUUGAACCGCAUGGUUCAAAAGUGAAAGACGGUCUUGCUGUCACUUAUAGAUGGAUCCGCGCUGCAUUAGCUAGUUGGUAAGGUAACGGCUUACCAAGGCAACGAUGCAUAGCCGACCUGAGAGGGUGAUCGGCCACACUGGAACUGAGACACGGUCCAGACUCCUACGGGAGGCAGCAGUAGGGAAUCUGCCGCAAUGGGCGAAAGCCUGACGGAGCAACGCCGCGUGAGUGAUGAAGGUCUUCGGAUCGUAAAACUCUGUUAUUAGGGAAGAACAUAUGUGUAAGUAACUGUGCACAUCUUGACGGUACCUAAUCAGAAAGCAACGGCUAACUACGUG